ensembl:lncRNA
CAACAAUGCAAAACACAACUUUCCCCAAUGUUGUAAAUUCCCCUUUCCUGGCUGUGCAAUCUUUUAAUUCCACUCCAGAUUGAAAGGCAGGGAUGCAGUUGGUUCUGUGGCUGGUGUGGGUUUGGCUCCAUUUCCAGGAUCUCUCUUUGUGGCCACUAUUUCUCAGCCCUGUGGUCUCCUUACCUUGGGGAGCAGCCCAGUAUUAGCAGCAAUACGAUAACCAUGUCGGAUAUGUUGAUAGGGCGGGCUUCCUGCUUUCUGGGCAGCAGCAGCAGCAUGGCAGGGAGUGUUGUGGUUACAGAGUUCAGUUCCAGCACAGGUUUCUGGUAUCAAUGCCAUCUGGCAAGAGAGAGUGACCUGCUUCUUUUGUCUACCUCACUGCCAUGGCACACCAGCUGAGCCUAUUUCUGGCUCCCAUGGUUCGUGAAUGGGUCAUGGCUCGAGACAUCUGUCUGACUUGAGGAAGAGCACCAAAUGGCAUCCCGGCCCAAAAUCAAGGGACAUCCUGUUAUAAGCUGAUCAAGUUGACAUUUGUGGCCCUUUUAUGACACCCAACAUUUGCUGUGCAAGAUGAGAGCUGUAUCACAUCUGAUAGAGGACCAGCUCUAAGUCGUCUCUCAUAGACCACCUCAUUUCAUUUCCUGUAUCCUCCAUUCCCUUCUUAAACAGACAAUAUUCAAUGCAGGCCCAGCAUACUUAGUCAUCAUCGGGUUGUUCGUAGGUGUCCUUUAUGUUUGUUUCCUAGAUUUUCUAUCGUUACAAGUCCUAGAGUUCUGCCAUACGCAUUGCUAUCACCCUCCUGUUCUUCAACAGUCCACUGCAAAAUAUACAUGCACAUAAUUAAUGAAGCUUAAGAGGGUCUGGCUACAGUGGCACAUGCCUUAGUUACAUCCCAUUUGGAUUACUGUAGCACGCUCUGUGUGGGGCUGCCUUUGAAGAUGGUUUGGAAACCUCAGCUGGUGCAAAACUCUGCAGCCAGACUACUGACUGGAGCUAGCGCACCUUUUACAAGAACUGCACUGGCUACCAGUCUGUUUCUGGGCCCAAUUCAAAGUGCUGGUCAUUACCUAUAAAGUCCUGUACAGCUUGGGUCCAGGGUACCUGAAGGGCCGUAUCUCCCUAUAUGCGCCUUCUCAGCGAUUAAGAUCAGCAGAGGAGGCCCUCCUCUCGGUCCCAUUGCCAGCAUAAGCACAGCUGAUGGGGGACACAGGAGAGGGCCUUCUCUGUGGUGGCUCCCAGGCUAUGGAAUGCUCUCCCUCGGGAGAUCAAGAUGGCCCCUUCCCUGUUACCCUUUUUUUUCCUUCAGAAAAAAAAGCUAAAGACCUAUCUCUUCAGGCAUGCUAUUAACAAUUACAGCUGAAUCUCUGAACCCCAUCUUAGCAGAUAAUUUCAAUCUUUCUAAUGUCUUCAUGUUUUAGUCAUUGGUAUUUAAAUGCAAGGCUUGUCUAAAUUUAAAUGCAAGCAGCUUUGUAUACUUUCAGUUUGGUCUUUGAGAGCUAAACCAGAAUAGCAGGAAGUCAAUGCAAUGCAAAUAUCCUAAGAAACAAAGCAAGGGCAACAACAAGCGUGAUACUUGCUACAAAUGGCACACCCUGCUGUAGCUCUGCAGUUGCCACCACUUAAGCCCACUGUAAGAGGUACUAGAUUUGAAUGUUGAAACUUUGAAGGCAUCUCCUGUCUGAAGCAAUAUUGUUCAUCCAUUAGACCAGGGAUGGGCAACUUCUGUUUCCCCAAAGCACUCAUUCACUCAGGAGUUAAGCUGUCCAGGGCUGCAUCUGGAGGGCCCAAAGGCAGGGUUUAAACUAGCACUGGGCAAGACCCCCUUCUCUCUCUCUCUCUCUCUCUCUCUCUCGUUGCAUAUGAAGUGUGAAGACCAAAGACAUUUAAACAACAAAGAGCUAUGUAGGUAGUUCACCAGCACUUCUGUUUCCCAAAUUGGGUGGUCCCUGGAGAAGGCUAACCAGCUGGACAAUAAAGACAGCCAUCUUGGAUUUGGCUGCA